AAAAGGAAGAACAAAACCUUAGGUGGAAAAAUUCAAGGGAAAAGUGUGAAAAUUCAAGGAAACAAGUGAAAAAAAGGUAAGAUUUUUCAAUUAAGCUUAAGAUCUCUCUUUCUUAAGCAUUUUUUCUUAUUUUCCAUGGUUGAAUCACAUGAUUUCAUGAUGAAUCCCAUGUUGGCCGAACACUUAGAGGGAGGUUUUGAUGCUUGAUUUGGUUAGAUUUCAAUGUAUUUUAAUGUUUUUAGUUAGUUAGUUAUGUGUAGUAUGAAAAGCCAACAAGAAAAAUUCACUUCCUCCCAUCACCCAUCAUUGGCCGAAUUCUCCAUGUAAAAUAUUGAUGAUGAUUUUGAUUUUAUUUCAAGUGAUUUGGUUAGGAAUUAGUGAUUUAUGGUGUGAUAAUCAAGCUUGAAAAAUUAUAGUGUUAAUGCACCCACUAUGGCCGAAUUUUCCAAGAGAUAAUGUGCGCAUGAUUUUGCCAUAUUUCAAGUUAUUUAAUUUGUGUUUGAUGAUUUGGAGUAUUGGAAGAAAAAUGGAAUUAAUUGGAGUUGAAUUGGACAUAUUAGCUAAUUAAUCGAGUGAUAGAUAAAAUUAGGCGAAUAUCGUUUUAUUUAGGUACACAAUUGAAUUUGUGUGGAACACCGUGUUUAGACGAUAAUCCGAACAAUUUACAUCCCAUUUCAUGCAUUAGUAUAGAGCCUGAAUUGGUUUUAUAACAAUUUAGCACAAAUGUAGUAAAUGGCUUAUUGUGCAUUAUGUCUAGGUGGUGAGCAUUCUGGCAAAAGUAAAGAGAUAGUACCCGAAAAUCAAGAAUCGGAGUACUCAGAAUUCGACUCCCGAAAUAGUGAGUAACCUUACUAUCAUCUUGAUUAUCUAAAGUGAUUUUUAUCCGAUUUUGUGAUUUUAUGAAAAAUGUGUUAAAUGGUAAAUCUUUUGUGUUUUGUAAUUAAAAUGUGAUUUAAUGAAAUGAUUUUAUAACAUUGUCUUGAAAUGAAAUGAUGGUUUGAAAAUAGAGUAAUUGGAGACUGUUUUCAUGUGUUGUAAAUUCAUGGUUUGAAUCGAAUGGCUUAUGACAAUAUUUGCAUGAAUGGUUGAAUUGGUAUUUGUGUUGAAAUAUAUGAACUGUGUAUUUUGCCUUGGGAGGCUGGAUUGUGAUAUAAUUGCCAUGUCAUGCGGUUGAGAUUUUAUUGAAUUGGUGGGUUUAGCUUGCUGUAGUGGGUGGGUUUCGUGGACCAGCCUAUUAGAGGGGCAUGGUAACCCCGUUAUACUCUUACCUCGGUCUGAAAGGCGUGUAAGGUAACUCCCGAGGUACAACUUUAGAGUUCACUUUACGCCAAACCACCACGUGAGGGUGAACUCAGCCAACGCCAAGGAACGACUAUGUUUUCAAAAUAAAAACAUGAUUUAUGCAUACAUGACUUUUUAACUGCCUUGGUGGACUCGGUUGGGAUAGCCCCAGGCCAAGGUAUCCCUAAUAACUAAGUAUGAUAAUGAUUUUCGCACGAGCCAAAGUUUUAAGAAAUUCAUAAGCCAUGUUGAAUACUCAAUUUAUAUGAAUUGAUUUUAUUUAGUUGAAAUGAGUUGAAAGGUGAUGAAUUACAGUAUGAUAAUCUAUUUUAAUCUGUCUCCAUUUACUCAACUUUAGAUAUUUUAGAUGGUGUUUGUUUACUCACUGGGAUUAUAUAAUCUCACCACCCUCAUUUUCACCCAUUUUAGGCUCAAGAUAGUCGGUAAAUAGCUCAUUUCGUUAAGGGCUACAGUUGGACUUACAUCCUCAAAAACUGUAGGUUUACCGCUUUUGAUACUUUUGAUCGUUCGUGGGCCCACAUGUCACUGUAAAUUAAAUCUUAUGCUUUGGUUAUCUGUAUUACAGUAUGUAUGAAUUUAUUUAGCUUUUACGCUACAAAAAUUAUUUACCAGGAACUCUGUAAAUAUUUUUUUAUAAGAAAAUAGAAUAUUUUAUUGAAUAUUUUUAUUAUAUUCAAAUAAUUAUAGUUUCGUUUUAAAUGAAUGUUUUAGACAUCUAAACUUAUUUUUGAUUAUGAAAUAUGUGUUUUCCACUCGCAUACUAUAUUUUUAGCUGGUUUCAAGAUUUUCGAGGAAAAAUGACCAAAAUGCCCCUGUGAGAAAAAAAAUUAUUUAUCUAUUGUUUUGAUUUGAAAAUAGUUUAUAGUCUCUCAAAACAUGAUACUUAAAAACUAUUGCUCACAGAGGAGGUGCAAAAAUUGAUAUUAAAGCCUUGCGUGGUUCCGGUUGGAUUCCGGGAAAUGAAUGUCUAUCGGGACGUCGCGAUGGUUAUCACGGGCUCGAGGGGAGUACCGGGUCGUGACAUAAAUCAAAGAAAGAAAAUAAAACAAAAAACAGAGUAAUCAAGAUAAUAGAAUUUAGAGUGGUUCGGUCCAAGACCUACAUCCACUACCUCGAUUAUCCAACUAAGGAUUUUCCCAACAAAUCCACUAAGAACCGGUGAAAUUCACAAGCUUUCACCAAGCUUUACAAUGGCUUUUACCAAGCUCAGCCAAAACCUUUUACACUAGUUUUUCCCGGGCUCAACUAUAACCCAACACUUAACUUUUCAAGGCUAAGUUAGAACCUUAACACAUUCAAGCAAACCUAGCUUGAAAUAACCACUUAGAGUGACUCCCUCACUCUAAGAAUACAAGAAGAGGAGUAAAAAAAAGUACCUAUGAUCAGAAGUUGAUCUAAAUGGUACAAGGUUAAGUGCAAAAUACAAAUACAAAGGAUGGGCGUUUAAGUGCGGUGAAGUACAAAGAAGAUUUUCUCAUUUUUUAACUCUAAAAUGACUCAAAUCUUUUCCAAAACCUCUAAGAAGUGAAUUCUAACCGUUGAAAGACCCUUUUAUACUUGGAGAAAUAGCUCUGAUGGUAGUUAGGCAGUUUAUGGCCGUUGGAAACAGUUUAGAGUAGGUUCUAGCUGUUAAUCUGUCUUCUAGUGCUCUGGUUCAAAUUGCAGACAAAGAGCUCUUAGUCGACUAACUUUCUUCUUGGUUGACUAAGUUGGUUUUGUCUUCUGGUCGCAGAUUCUGGCAGAGAGCAUUUGGUCGACUAACUCAUUUCUUGGUCGACUAAGUUGGUUCUGUCUUGAAGUCUAGAUUUUGGCAGUAGCUUCUUAGUCGACUAACUCUUAUCUUGGUCAACUAAGUUGGUUCUAUUUCUCAAUAUUCUUCAGCCCGCCAUUUCUCCAAUUUAAAUUUUAGUCAACCAACAUUCUUCAUUAUUUAACUAAAGACCUUUUUUUUGGUUGAUCAAUCGUUUUUUUUCAUUUUCAUGAUUUUUGAUAUGCACAUUUGAAAGGUUGAUUUAAUAUUUCCAUGACUUUUUGUCCUGCACACUUAGGUAGAAAUCUUAGACACAAAUGAAAUGGGAAUGUUUUAUUAUAAUUAAAAGCUAAUGGAGCCAACAUGCCCAGCUUAUUAACAUUAAAUACCAUCUAAGUAAAUGUCCUCUUGACUUUUUACUCUACAUUUACUUAAGAUAUUUAAUGUAAAUAAGCAAGUAACCCCCUAUUUGGAUUCAAUAGAAAUAUCCAAAAAAUAAAAAUCCAAAACCAUCAAAAUCUAAAUUUUGGUUUCAAGAACAAAAUCGAAAAAGUUUGACUGAAAUUAAAUUUGCUGCUCCCAUUUAUCAUAGCAAAUUACCACCAAAAAUUAUAAGAAAAUCAUUUUUGGUCAUCUAAAAAUUAAGGGAAUCAUUACCACCAUUUUUUGUUUUUAAAAGAUUGUUCUAUAAAAAUCACAUAUUUUGACCCCUCCUAAACUUAAAAAAAUUUUUGCUUCAAAAGUGAUAGACAACCAAUAGUGUCAAUGAAUUCUUUUGAAAGGUAAAACUAAUUUUCAUAGUCAAAAUAUGUAAUCUAUAUGCUUACCUAAGGAUUUCCUAACUUAUCCUUUUAGUCAAUGUUGGAUUUCACAGGUAGUAUCCUGAUUAGAAUCAUGUUAGUUCUCGAAACUAGUCAUUAACUCUUUUAAUGUAAUUAGAAUACUCCUUUCCAAAUCUUCAUACUAUCUUGGCCAAGGAUGUUUUGAGUUAAUACAUGCAAAGAAGUACUGGGAUAUUUCUUUUAAUAUCACUUAGUGUGAUGAAUCUUCUAUUGAUCAUUCAUCUGUCUCCAUAUACUUCAUGCUAUAUCCAAUAUCCAUCACAUUGUACAUGCUAUAAGACACUUCACAUAUAAAAUAAUUCGAUAAUCUUAUGCACAUGGUUCACUUACAAAACUGUUAAAUGAAAAUAUGUUUUCUUAUAUACUUAAGUAAGAUAUCAAAUGAAAUUUUUAUAAUAGGUCAGGUUUAGUGAACUUGUUCAUUUAACAAUCAUCCAUAUAUUUGUUCAAGUAUCCUCAUACUUCAACUUAUAUGAUUAAUUGUUCACUUCAUAAAUAAGAAAUAUAACAUGUGUUGAUCUAUUGACUUUAUUAUUAUCUUAUUUUGAUAAAGUAUCAACUAGCAAGAACAUGUAGAAUUAAUGCUUUAAUGAUGAAAUAAGGAACCCAGAAUUAUAACACUUUAUAAUUUCUUUUACAAAACAUAUUAUGUGAGACCUCGUCCUCUAUAGACCCGUAACUAGCAGUAGACGCGAUAACAUGGAUUAAGGGCAAUUUCGUCAUUUCUCUGGUAAGCUCCUGGAAGUAGCUUUCAAAUCUUAUUAAGGUCUAAAUAGACCUAAGGAAUAAAUGAAUGAUGGUAAAAUGAAUGAAGAAGAUAGAAAUAUCGAUAAUUUUCAUGAUAGGGGCAAAACGAUCAUUUUGCAUCUCGAGUCAAAAUUUUUAAGUUUUCAUGAACCCGAGUAUUCCUAGACUCUUAUGGACCUUGUCUUAGUGUCAAAGAAGUAAAAAGAUUGUAUAAAGGCAAUGGAAAGAAAAAAUGACCUUGUUAAGGGUAUUUUGAUAAUUACGUGAGAAAAUUGAUAAACAUAAGGCAUAAAUAUCUAAGUUUCUAGCAAGUUCUUCAAAUUUCCAGCAACUUCUCCUUCUUCUUCUUCCUUUCUCGCGUUUUCUUACCUUCCAUGGGAGCUUGCUUUGAAACCUCCAUAGAUUUUUUCAAGUUAACCCCAAUUUUCAUGCUUUUUUGCACCUUUUCGCAAAGUCCUUUGUGCUCUCUUACUCUUUCACCUUAAAACCCUCAAAAGCCUUUCCUUAAUUCUUUCUCUCACUAGUUGGAUGUUCUAAAGAGAGAAAAAGAGAUUUUUCAAAAGAAUUUGAAAGCUUUUGAAAAGGAAUUCGAUUACAAAACUACCAAGGUGAGUAAUGAAACUGAGUUGAUUUUUUUUUACUUGUUGAGAAUGGCUAGUGGCUAAAAUUGUGAAUGUUUUGUAGUUGAGGUCGUCUAUUCAUUUUAGUGUGACUAGAAUGGUGAAAACAGAUAGCCACUUAAUGGUAGUUGGAAGCCAGUUAGGAAUAACUAGUAGAGCAUGAUUUAGGAGAUAGCUUUUAGAAAUAUGGUUAUGUGAAUUGAGUUGAUUUGUGAUGCUAAUGUGUGUGAUAGGUCCCAACGAGACCCCACAUUUUCAUUUGGACCAUUAGUAGGAGUUGGAGUCGAUUUAAGAAUCAACAAAGACAUUGUGAGUGAACUGACACUAAAAAUAUUUUGGGAAAUGUAUUGAUGAAGCGUGUGAAAGAUUUUUAUUUGAUUGUUCCUUAAAGAUUAUUCAUGGGAACCAGCCUUUAUCAAAAUGUUUUACAUUGUGAGUGUGCAAUAUGAUGAAUCCUUGUGCCUUAUAUGAUGUUGAUAUAAAUAUAUAUGUUGCGUAUUGAUAGUUAAUAUUGUGUAACAAAUAUCACCGUGCGUGUGCACAAUGUGGGGAUGCACAUGAUGAUGAUGACAAGGUGCGAAAGUGUGGAUAGUGAUGUUGAUGUGUACGAGUAGGGAGUGCACACGAUAUAGUAGGUGGAUGUAAUGUAUGUGAAAUCUUGCAUGUUGAACCUUGAAAUCUUGCUAAUUAUCUUCAAAUUGAAUUGUAUUGCAGCGAGAAACUCUCGGGUUCUUGCCAUCCGGAUCUCGCUGUAGCGAGAAUCCACUCUCGCUACAACGAGAAACCUUUUGUCAUGUUUACUACCCUGCUUGGUUUUUGCCAUAUUUUCUACUUCUUUAACCUCAUGGUUGAUCAUGGAUUUUCUACAUCAAGGGAUUAGUUAAUCAAGUUUGGAAUGAGGGGUUUUAAUAAGAAUUAAACUAAAUUGCAUUGUUUUUGAAUCUAAGUGCAUCAUGAUUUUUAAACUUUCCUUACGUCGCUUGUUCCCUUCCUAUGUUCACUCACUAGGUUUAUACUCACUGUUUUCAACUUCAUGUUUUCAGAUCAGGAGGCAGUUAGAAACUAGGUCGAGGUGUCCUUGUAGAUUCGUUUCUUUGGUAGGUAUCUCGGCAUUCAAUAGCUAUACCUUCGCCAAGGUCACUCCGCUAGAAGUCGAGUAUCUCUUUUGUUGUGUAUAGAUAAACCUGAU
rnacentral:lncRNA from 1 species